rnacentral:rRNA from 1 species
AUUGAACGCUGGCGGCAGGCUUAACACAUGCAAGUCGAACGGAGUGGCGGACGGGUGAGUAAUGCUUGGGAACCUACCCAUCAGAGGGGGAUAACACUUGGAAACAGGUGCUAAUACCGCAUAUCAUCCGAUGGACCUGCGUUGUAUUAGCUAGUUGGUGGGGUAACGGCUUACCAAGGCGACGAUACAUAGCCGACCUGAGAGGGUGAUCAGUCACACUGGAACUGAGACACGGUCCAGACUCCUACGGGAGGCAGCAGUGGGGAAUAUUGGACAAUGGGCGAAAGCCUGAUCCAGCCAUGCCGCGUGUGUGAAGAAGGUCUUCGGAUUGUAAAGCACUUUAAGUUGGGAGGCGUUACCAACAGAAUAAGCACCGGCUAACUUCGUGCCAGCAGCCGCGGUAAUAC